AACGAACGCUGGCGGCAUGCCUAACACAUGCAAGUCGAACGAAGCCUUCGGGCUUAGUGGCGCACGGGUGCGUAACGCGUGGGAAUCUGCCCUUGGGUCCGGAAUAACAGUUAGAAAUGACUGCUAAUACCGAAUGAUGUCUUCGGACCAAAGAUUUAUCGCCCAAGGAUGAGCCCGCGUCGGAUUAGCUAGUUGGUGAGGUAAAGGCUCACCAAGGCGACGAUCCGUAGCUGGUCUGAGAGGAUGAUCAGCCACACUGGGACUGAGACACGGCCCAGACUCCUACGGGAGGCAGCAGUGGGGAAUAUUGGACAAUGGGCGAAAGGCCUGAUCCAGCAAUGCCGCGUGAGUGAUGAAGGCCUUAGGGUUGUAAAGCUCUUUUACCCGGGAUGAUAAUGACAGUACCGGGAGAAUAAGCCCCGGCUAACUCCGUGCCAGCAGCCGCGGUAAU
rnacentral:rRNA from 1 species